rnacentral:rRNA from 1 species
UACGAAGGGGGCUAGCGUUGCUCGGAAUUACUGGGCGUAAAGGGAGCGUAGGCGGAUAGUUUAGUCAGAGGUGAAAGCCCAGGGCUCAACCUUGGAAUUGCCUUUGAUACUGGCUAUCUUGAGUGUGGGAGAGGUGUGUGGAACUCCGAGUGUAGAGGUGAAAUUCGUAGAUAUUCGGAGGAACACCAGUGGCGAAGGCGGCUCACUGGCUCGGUACUGACGCUGAGGUGCGAAAGCGUGGGGAGCAAACAGG